rnacentral:lncRNA from 1 species
AUUCCACAUAUGAGUGAUAUCGUAUGAUAUUUGUAUUUUACUGUCUGGCUUAUUUCACUUAGUAUGAUAUUAUCUAGGUUCAUUCAUGUUGUUUCAAAUGGCAUUAUUACGCUCUUUUUAUGGCUAAGUAAUAUUCCUGUGUGUAGUAUUUUAUGGCUAAGUAAUAUUCCUGUGUGUAUACACACACACACACACAUACACACACACACACACACACACACACACACACACCCCACCACGGCUUUAUCUGUUCAUCUGUCAAUAGAUAUUUAGGUUGCUUCCAUGUCUUAGCUAUUGCAAAUAGUGCAUGCAAUGAACAUUAGGAUGUAUGUGUCCUUUUGUUUUUUUUUUAAUUUUUUUGUCUUUUUGCCUUUUCUGGGGCCACUCCCGCAGCAUAUGGAGGUUCCCAGGCUAGGGGUCUAAUUGGAGCUGUAGCCACUGGCCUACACCAUAGUUCACAGCAACGCUGGAUCCUUAACCCACUGAGCAAGGCCAGGGAUCGAACCCACAACUUCAUGGUUCCUAGUCGGAUUCGUUAGCCACUGAGCCACGACAGUAACUCCCUGUAUGUGUCCUUUUGAAUCAUGGUUCUCUCCAGAUAUAUGCCCAGGAGUGGAAUUGCAGGAUCAUAAGGUAACCUUACUUUUAGUUUUUUAAGGAACCUCCAUACUGUCUUUCAUAUUGGCUGUACCAAUUUACAUUCCACCAGCAGUGCAGGAAGGGGUUCUUUUUCUCCACAUACUCUCCAGCAUUUAUUAUUUGCAGACUUUUUGAUGACCAUUCUGACUGGCGUGAAAUGAUAUCUCUUUGUAGUUUUGAUUUGUAUUUCUCUAAUAAUUAGUGAUGUUGGACAUGUUUUCAUGUGCCUGUUGGCCAUCUAUGCUUUCUUUGGAGAAAUAUCUGCUUAGGUCUUCUUGCCAUUUUUUGAUUGGAUUGUUUGUUUUUUCAUGUGCUGUAUGAUAAACUGAAUGAGUUUUUUUUGUAUAUUUUGGAAAUUAAUUCCUUAUGAGUUGUAUCAUUUGCAAAUACUUUCUCCCAUUCUGCAGGUCGUCUUUGGUCUUAUUUAUGGUUCCCUUGGCUCUGCAGAAGCUUUUAAGUUUAACUAGGUCCUGUUUAUUUAUUUUUGUUUUUACUUCCAAUACUUUAGGAGUUUGGAUCUAAAAAGAUAUUGUCGUGAUUUAUGUUAAAAAGUGUUCUGCCUAUAUUUCUGUCUAGGAGUUUUAUGGUAUCUGGUCUUACACUUAGGCCUUUAAGCUACUUAGAGUUUACGUUUGUGUAUAGUGUUAGAGAAUGUUCCAAUUUCAUUCUUCUACAUAUAGCUGUCCUGUUUCCCCAGCAUCCCUUAUUAAAGAGGGUGCUUUUCUUUAUUCCACUAUAUAUUCUUGCCUCUUUUGUCAUAGAUUGACCAUAUGUAUGUGAGUUUAUUUCUGGGCUUUAUCCUGUUCUAUUGAUUAAUACAUCUGUUUUCAUGCCAGUACCAUACUAUUUUGAUGACUUAGCUUUGCAGUAUAGUCUGAAGUCAAGAAGCCUUAUUCCUCUACCUCUGUUUUCUUUCUCAAGAUAUCAGCAAUCAAUUUUUCAGAACCCAAUUCUUUUGUUUUUUUUCUUUCUCUAUAAUUUGUUUUCUUUUUCUAUAAUUUUUGGAGAUGCUGAUCAGAGUUAAUAUCCUUCCUUGAUUAACUCCAGUAUCUGGAUUACCUAUGCAUCUGAUUUUGGGUUUUGUGGCUUUGUUUUAUUUUCAAUUUUGGUUUUCAGACAGAGUAUCCUAUUUGACAGCAUGUCUAGUAAGUUUUUCUGAAUGUCAGACAUUGUGUAUAACAAAUUUUAAAAAGAAGAGUGGAGAUUGAGCAUGUAAAUCCAACCAAUUACUGAUCUGGGAUGCUAUUUUGUAUAGUACCUGCUUUGCCUGUGUUCUUGGAGCAUACCUCUUUAGCAUUUUGAACUAAUAUCCUGGUGUGUUCUUCCUCCUAAUGGGUCCUAAAUUCUAAUCUUGGUCUUUUCAGCAUGGAAACACUGAAAAAAACCUAAAGUCUUCUUUUCAGGGGCUUUCUGCUUAGUCUCAGAACUUAGCAAUGUCUAAAAAGGAAAACUGGCCAUUUGUUUUCCUAUAAAAGUUCUGCUCCUUUCUCUGACCCUUAACAAUGAUCUUUUAUGCAGAUUCUCAACCUCUUACUCUCAAACCAGAAUUAGGAAAUAUCCCCAAAGUAAAAGCAGAUGCAGAAUAUCAUCCUUCCUCUCUGUGUCUCCUUUUCCAUAAUUUUGUCUGCCAAAGUCUUCAUUUCUUUUGUGGUUUAUUUGAUGCCUUUUUAGGAGUUAUUUUAAAAAUUUGUUUAGUUUUUAUAAUUGUUCCUAGUAAAAACAUUUAUAUGCUGUAAUUUAAUUCUAUACAUAUGUAGAUGUAUCAAGAAUGCAUUUAAAAUAUACUUAUUCAUAUUUAAUUCAACUUUCUACAUUGUUUUUAUCAGAAAGAUUGUUCCAAGUAGCCUGUCUAACGUAACGUCAAAAACUGAUUUAGAUAAGUGUUUUUCUGAAGAGAAUUAUUUUUGUGGUUUAUAAUAUGAAGUAGAAGAACAGAAACUAAACACAACUCAGGUUAACAAACAGAAUAUUAUCUCUAUCCUAGAAGUGCUCUUCCCCUGAUUACUACUCCACUUUAUGUAAAAGUAAUCACUAUCCUGGCUUCCUAUACCAUUACUAAACAAAAUAUUCUACUAUGUGAAUAAACUACAACUUACUCAUCCAUUAUAUUAUAUUCCAAUUUGGCACAAUUAUGAAUAAUGGUCCUAUAACCAUUCUUACACAGAUACUUUAAUGUACUCAUGCACUUCAGAUUUAUAUAUGAUUAGGUAUGGAAUUGAUGGGUCAUAGGAUAGGCUUAUGGUCAAUUUUAAUAGGUAAUUCCAGGUUUUCAAAAUAGUCACAUUAAUUUAUAGACCCACAGGCAGUAAUUGAGAGUUCCACUUGCUUCACAAGCUUGGCAACAUUUGGCAUAGUCAGUCUGUUUAUUUUUCAUCAUAUUGAUAGUUGUGUGAUGGAUUUGAGAUACUAAUUAAUAUUUCCUUAACUACUUUUAAUGUAUUUGGUGACCAUUUGGAUAUCUUCUUUUGUGAAGUACCUCUUCAAAUGUCCUGCCUAUUUUGUAUUGGUUUUGUCUUCUCUUUCUUCUUCUCUGUCUCCUCCUCCUCCUUCUCCUCCUCCUCUUCCUCCUUCUCCUCCUCCUCUGUCUCCUUCUCCUCCAUCUCCUUCUCCUCCAUCUCCUUCUUCUCCUUCCCCUCCUUCUUCUUAUUUUUUUUGCCAUGUGCAAACAUGUGGAAGUACCCGGGCCAGGGAUCAAACCUAUACCAUAGCAGCAAUACAGUGACAACACUUCAGUGUCAGUAUCAGAUCUUUAACCUGUUGCACCACAAAAGAACUCCAUUUGUUGUCUGUUUUUAUUUAUUAUGCCUACAAUAGCCCUUUGCCAAUUAUAUGUAGGAUUAUAAUCUUGAUAGUAAAAAGGUACACUGUUAAUUAUUACACUAGGAUUUUCUUAAACAAACUUGCAUAUAUAACAACAUAAUUUUGUAUUGUUUUGAAUUUAUUUAGGCAUCAUUCAUGUACAAAAAUGCACACAUUUGAAAUGUGCGAUGGAAUUACUUUUAACAAAACUAUAUAUUUAUGUAAUUACCACCACAUCUGAGCUAUAAAAUGUUUCUGUCACCCCAUGUAUCCUUUCCUAUUGAAUUUUCCAACUUCACCUAGGGUCAGUGACCCUAGGCAAUCAUUGACUUAUUUUCUGUCACAUAAAAUAUGCUUUUCUAGAAUUUUAUGUAAAUAAGAUCAUAUAGGAUAUACUAUUAUAUCUAGCUUCUUUUGCUCAGCAUAAUGUUUUUGAGAUUUAUCCAUGAUGUUACCAUGUUCCAUAUAACAUGUAUCUAUGUUGCAUCUGUGUUGUUUUAACACAGUUCAUUGCUUUUUAUUUCUAAGUGGCAUUUCAUUUCAUAGAUAUACCAUAAUUUGUUCAUCUACUUGACUCUUCAUGAAUUUUUUUGUUUCCAGAUUUUGGAUUAUUAAGAAUAAUGCUUCCAAAAAUGAAUAUAUAUGAAUCUUUGUGGCAGCUAUAUUCAUUUUUCAUGGAUAAACACCAAAGAGUUGAAUUAUUAAGUUGUUUGGUAACUGUAUGUUUAACUAUUUAAGGAGCCACCAAAAGUUUUUAUAUAAAGCUGUAGAUUUUAUAUUAAUUGCAGUGACUUAUGAGGGCCCUAAUUAAUACACAUCCUCAGCAACACUUGGUACUGUUAAUAUUUUUAAUUUUAGCUUUUGUAGCUUUAUCUCUGAUGACUAAUAAUCUUGAGAAUCAGCAAUGUUUUUCUUCCACUUAGGAAAAAAAUUAAUUUUCUCCUAAGCCUACCCAGUGAAAAUUAUAUUUCAGAUUAUUGUGUUUUUAAUCUCUAGAAAUUACAUUUGGUUUUUUAAAAAGAUCUUUCCUCGUGUUCACAUUUUUUGUUAAAGCUUUGAAUAUAUUAAACAUAUUUAUAAGAACUCUUUUAGUACUCAU